UGGGUUUCUGAUAAAAUCCAAAUUAUUUAGUUGAACCACCUUUUGCUUUAAUUACAGCCGUUAGUCUGUUGGGAUUCUGUCUCUACU